UACGGAGGGUGCGAGCGUUGUCCGGAAUCACUGGGCGUAAAGGGCGCGUAGGCGGCUUGGGAAGUCCGUGGUGAAAGCUCGAGGCUCAACUUCGAGUCGGCCAUGGAUACUCCUAAGCUCGAGUCGACUAGAGGCAGAUGGAAUUCCUGGUGUAGCGGUGGAAUGCGCAGAUAUCAGGAGGAACACCGGUGGCGAAGGCGGGUCUCUGGGCAGUAACUGACGCUGAGGAGCGAAAGCGUGGGGAGCGAACAGG
rnacentral:rRNA from 1 species